GUGUGUAUGUCUGUGUGUGUAUGUGUCAGUAUGUCUGUGUGUGUGUGUAUGUCAGUAUGUCUGUCAUAGACACACACAGACAUACUGACAUACAUACACAAACAGACAU
rnacentral:miRNA from 1 species